UGAAGACUGGGCCAAUCUCAUGGAUCAUGUCCGAGGUGGUGGUGGACCUUCCGUGCCGCUGGAAGGCUUGUCUGUUGCACUGUCUGGUGAGUGAAGAGGCUCCCAUCGCUGCUACCACCGACGGGUUCACACUGCAGUAAGCAACAUGUCCUAUCGGGUUUAUGGAGCACCCACCCAGUGAUCAGUCCUGCCUGAGAGGCAGUGUGGGCCCAAUGUGCCAAUACACCAGCAGCUCCGGACAGAAGAUCACCUUGUCCUCCGCAUCGCCUCCCACUGCCUUCUGUACUGCACGUAACCACUGGAAUAAAAAAACAAAACAAAAUGACACAUCACUGACAAACACUCAUCCAACGGUAGGCUCAACACACACCUGUGCUACCAUCCGCAAUGAGAUCCUUUUCUCCUUUAAGUAGAACGGUAAUGUUGCCCAUGGUUUCGCUUAGCCGCAGGACGCUACUACGGUGAUCAACGCUGUCCACGGCCUUGUGUUGCUGAGAUGACAACACGCAGAUGGGAUCAAAACACUUGUGGCGCUGACUUGAAUUUGUCACUUGGCAAGAAACCCACCAGCGUAUCGUACAGUCGCGUGAACUCCAUGAAGUUGGGCGUGAUGAUGCCCUUCUGGUAGCCAUGGAUAACAGACGGCUGCUUUGUGACCAGCCAUAAACCGUCCUGGAGAAGGCAAACAAAGAAAAAGUCACUAUGACUUUUGUAAACGCAAGAUAAAGUUGACCUAGACAAA